AGGAUUUUAGUUUAAUGUAAAAAUAUAUUCAUUGCAAGAAUAAGAUAACUGGUGUUAGAUUCUA
rnacentral:tRNA from 1 species